rnacentral:rRNA from 1 species
UACGUAGGGUGCAAGCGUUAAUCGGAAUUACUGGGCGUAAAGCGUGCGCAGGCGGUUUUGUAAGUCUGACGUGAAAUCCCCGGGCUCAACCUGGGAAUGGCGAUGGUGACUGCAAGGCUAGAGUUUGGCAGAGGGGGGUAGAAUUCCACGUGUAGCAGUGAAAUGCGUAGAUAUGUGGAGGAACACCGAUGGCGAAGGCAGCCCCCUGGGUCAAAACUGACGCUCAUGCACGAAAGCGUGGGGAGCAAACAGG